rnacentral:misc_RNA from 1 species
UGUCUGUUCUUUUGCUGCAAGUAAGACUCACCACAACUGUCUUUUCUCCCAUUGAAGAUACCCUCAACUCAAGAACAUCAACAGGGGAAGAAGAUGGUGGUGAUCUAGUAGUUGAUCCUGAAGAAUCAUAUCCAUAUUGCAUCUCAAAUCUUCUCGAUCUUUUAGGCUUUGAAUCGAAACUUUCAUCUUGUUCAAAUUCAACAUCGUUACUAUUCUUCUUUGACGAUGAUCUUCCAGAUUCAAGCUCUG